UUAAAAAAAUAAAAAUAAACCUUUGUUUAAUCUCAGUUUGGCUUUUGGUCAGUGCCCUUGACUGGUUCAUGCCUUGGACACAUGC
rnacentral:snoRNA from 1 species